UCUUCUCCCCCAAGCCCGAUACUCCCUCUCUAUUCUCUAUGAGUUUGCUGCCGCCCUUCCCAAGCUGUGUCGUCACCACUCGCCAACGAGGGGAUUUCAACCCGAGCGUAGACGAGGGGCAGCUGCUCGAUGUGUUCAGCCUAGUUGCUCAGGUCGUGUAUUAGGGUUUUUAGGGAUCAAAUUUAGAGGUUUUUUUGAAUGGUUUUGUGUUCUUGAAUGGUUCUCUUGAAUGGUUUUAUGUUCUUGAAUGAUUCAGAGGUCCUGUCCAUUAGGGUUUUAUGCCAAUGAAUGGCUAUGUGUUCUUCAAUUUCUUCCUCUCCUAUUUUAGGUAUAUUUAUUGCAAGCAUGUCAUCUGAGCAUAGUGCUAUGGCCUUGUUCACGGUCUGUUUUGAUUUCACAGAUUUGGAGUUCCUGUGUGUCUGGGUAAAGUCAAUUUUUUUGGGAUAUUCUCCAUGAUUACAUCAUUUUAUAAGUGUGGUCUUAGGAGAUGUUUGUCCCGUUAGGUUACUAUAGAUGUUUAUAGCUCCACCCAUAUGAAAAUUUGGUGUUUUUCCUUAUGGGUCUUCUAGAUUGUUAUGUAUUUUUGCUGAGUUACUUCAAGUUUCUCAAACCAUUAAUGUAUUACAGAGUGUUGGGUCUAUAAGGCUUAGAAAUAUGGGCUCCAGAAUGGUGAAUAAUCUAAUAAAGGCGGGGAUACAAAGUGGUCAUUCAUGAUAUGUAAUGUAUUUGGUUUUUUUAGUUCUUCAUGAAUUGCUAGGAAAAAAAUUAGUCAGAUUUCAAUUGAUUAUUUCAUUUGUUAUACAUUUUGAAACAAGAAUGAUUCUCUCAGUGCAAAUUCAAUUCAUUUUGUAUGUGGAGGCCAAUGAACUUGUAUUUCAUAGCAGUUAAGCCCUUUCAAGUGUGAUAUUAGUUAACUUGAGAUAUUUGAUUGUUUUCAAAAACUGUAAUGUCUUAAAGAAGUUCUCUUGCUAACAUGGGAGUUUCCACAAAAGAAACACCAUUUGAAGUUGCAUAAGCAAGUGAUGUCUUAAUUAAUUAUAAUGUUGCCUUCUUCUUGUCAUGUGAAUUUCAAUUACUACUAAAUCCAUUUGCUCUCUCUCUCUAGAAAAUCUAUUCCAUUGCUUGUUGUUAUGAAUAUUAGAAUGACCAUUUUUUUCAAGCUUGAUGACAGAAUGGAUGUCCAUGACUAAUGUGCUUAAUUUCCAUACAAGUUUUUUCAUACUCUUACUCUUAAUUUUAUGCUCGUUUCUGUUAAUUUUCUUAUUUCUAAGAGUUUUUAUUUAUUUUGUUGAUUUUUAUUUUGAAAUAAAUAAAUUGAAAGAGUCAUGAAAAUUGAAGAAGACAUCAAGAGAAUAGGAAACAUUCAUUUCUUGAAUUUUCUGAAAUAUCAUUCAGUAUUUAGAGCAUAACUUUUGCUAGAGAACUCCAAUAAGUAAAAUCUAGGUGUCGAUGGAAAGAUAGGAGCAAACCCUACAACUUUCAUGUUGAAGACUUUCCCCAAAAAAAAAAAACAUCUUAAGAGAGAAAAGAGAGCUUCAAGUUGGAGGUCGAAAAACUGCCAAACUGAGAAUCCUGUUUUAGGCAACAGGGGAAAAAGUGUUUUGAGGAAGGAAGAAAAAGAUAGAGAAAUUUUGAGGACGAUCAGAGCCUUGUGAAAAGGAGUUUUCCACCAUUGGAGAGGAAUUCAAAGCAUGGAAAAAGAAGCAGAAGAUGGAUGCCGAAUUAGAAUGUGUCAACAAUUGAGAUUCUUGAUUUACAUACAGUUUCCUUUCUUAACUCUUUCAUCUUCUCUUUGUAAAAUUUUCAUUAUGAAUUCCAGAGUUGUUAUGGUUUGUCUUGAUUUUAUUAUGAGCUAAUUUCUAAUACUAAGACUACAAUUUAGCCUCUCCAGGAAAAUUUUGAAUCUUA